AUUGAACGCUGGCGGCAGGCUUAACACAUGCAAGUCGAACGAGUGGCGGACGGGUGAGUAAUGCUUGGGAAUCUAGCUUAUGGAGGGGGAUAACUACGGGAAACUGUAGCUAAUACCGCGUACCAUAGGAUGAGCCCAAGUGGGAGUAGGUAGUUGGUGUGGUAAAGGCUCACCAAGCCGACGAACUUUAGCUGGUCCGAGGGGAUGACCGGCAACCCUGGGACUGAGACACGGCCCAGACUCCUACGGAAGGCAGCAGUGGGGAAUGUUGCGCAAUGAGGGCAGCCUAACGCAGCCAUGCCGCGUGAAUGAAGAAGGCCUUCGGGUUGUAAAGUUCUUACGGUAGCGAAGCGUUAACUACAGAAGAAGCACCGGCUAACUCCGUGCCAGCAGCCGCGGUAAUAC
rnacentral:rRNA from 1 species